UACGGGGGGGGCAAGCGUUGUUCGGAUUCAUUGGGCGUAAAGGGUGCGUAGGUGGCGCUGUAAGUGGGGUGUGAAAUCCCGGGGCUUAACCCCGGGACUGCAUUCCAUACUGCGGUGCUUGAGGACUGGAGAGGAGACUGGAAUUUACGGUGUAGCAGUGAAAUGCGUAGAGAUCGUAAGGAAGACCAGUGGCGAAGGCGGGUCUCUGGACAGUUCCUGACACUGAGGCACGAAGGCCAGGGGAGCAAACGGG
rnacentral:rRNA from 1 species